AGAUGAAGUUGAAGUUGAUGAACUAAAAUUCAAGUAAAAGUUACUUAUUUUUUAUUAUUUGUUUUCAAUGUUAUUGAACUAUAGUAUUUUUAGUUCGGCUAUUUAUUUUAUUUGGCAGAAAUAAAUAACGCAAAAAUUGACGUAAAAAUUGACUUUGGCCCGUAACAAGCAAAAGUCAAUUAAAGUAUUUUAGAUAGUUUGAAUUUCGACGGAAAAUGAAGUUACUGUAAGCCACGUAAUAGAAGUAAAUAUUUACGGCUGGAAAUUACUUCACCUCUCUCUACUUUGAUAAAACAAACGCACUUGCUUGUGAACCUGGUGUAUGUUAUAUUUCUCUAGUUAGGACUCUCCACUAAAUUAUUAUUAUUAUUAUUAUUAUUAUUUAAUUUAAU
rnacentral:lncRNA from 1 species